ensembl:lncRNA
UAGAUGUGGUCUGUCACCUCCAGGGAAGGGCAGCAAGGCUGCUUUCUGAGCACUGGACUUGGAUGACUCAUAUGCAACCUAGAAAAGAAAGCGACACAGCUGCCUCUCUUGGCACUCCCUGUGGCUUAGGGCUAAGCGCUGGUGGGAGCAGGAUGGUGCAGGAAAACAGUUCUCGCGUGUAUGAUCUCUUCAGCUCAUAAAAGAUACCAUCAGUACCAAAUAAUCAGCUCUUGAGGAACCUCUGCAGUGUAUGUGGAAACAGAGGCACCUGCUGGUCGUUCUAUCUAGUCCUUCUGGAACAGGGCAAGCUAACUCUUCCCCAUGGGCCUCAAAAUGCAGCACUGAUUAUUGAUCUAAUGAUUAUUUAACUCCUGCGAGAUGAAAGUUACCUGAGUAGACGUUAUGCAUCAUGAAUCCUGGAAAAUCUUUGCAACUCAUUCUCUGUACCCUUCUUUGAAACUGUACUCAUCUUCAGAGGAGAUUCUACGUGAAUCUUGGGAUCCACCAUCGUCUUGUCUUGGGACUCUAGAGGUACCUCAGGAUGAAACUUUGGUUGGUAUCUAAUCUUGGGAGUUCCCCGGGUGAAAUCCAAAACUGGCCCCAUACACAGAGGUUAAGGAGAGAGAGAAGAAAGAGGAGACUACUCCAGAUCAGCAGGUGGCAGUUCUAAUAAGCACGGGAGCUUACACACAAUGCUUGUGUUGGCGGUACAAGAUCAGGAGCUCUCCGUAACUGCUGCCAAAAUCUUAAGUCUGGACACAAGUCUUAACUGGGUUCAGCCACACAUUCAGUUUCAAUAGUCUCAACUCACUGUUCUCUCAGUGCUGCACCCUUGAAAUCAGCUCAGCUAUGGGAGCAAAGUGCAGAAUAUUUCAAGGUCAGAGGAGAGAGAAGGCUCUGACUGCCCAGGUCCAGCUUACAGGUCAAGCAAUGGUCAUGUCCUCUCGAUGACCUCCUCCAACAACUUCCUGUCUUGCAGUCAAACUGUAAAUAAAAAUAAUAAAGAAACA